CGCGGAGAUCAAACCCGGGGACAGAACGCGCGAGCACGCGCACAGGACGCGGUGGGCGAAGAAGACGGCGAGGGCGCUGAAGAUGAUUCAGCACGGCGGCGUCGAGGACGGGUUCGGAAUGGGGGUCGCGCUGCACGAGGACCUCGAAGGGAGCGCGUUCCACGCGCGCGGGGACGACUUCGCGUCGAUUCGCGAGCGCGAGCUGGAGCCGGUGUUCGGAGGGUGGCGAGAGGGCGAGUGCGUCCCGGGGCACUGGGGGGACGAGGACGGCGGAGGGGGCGGUCGAGAGGACGACGACAUGAUGCGAUAGCUCGACGACGACGAUUAAGUUACCUUCGUAGGUAGUAGGUAGUCUCCGAAGCUCGACCGCGGCGGCACUUCCGAUAUCCGAACAGAAACGAUUCCAGACGGAAGCAUCAGGGUUUAGGGUUUAGGGUUUAGGGUUUAGGGUUUAGGGUUUAGGGUUUAGGGUUUAGGGUUUAGGGUUUAGGGUUUAGGGUUUAGGGUUUAGGGUUUAGGGUUUAGGGUUUAGGGUUUAGGGUUUAGGGUUUAGGGUUUAGGGUUUAGGGUUUAGGGUUUAGGGUUUAGGGUUUAGGGUUUAGGGUUUAGGGUUUAGGGUUUAGGGUUUAGGGUUUAGGGUUUAGGGUUUAGGGUUUAGGGUUUAGGGUUUAGGGUUUAGGGUUUAGGGUUUAGGGUUUAGGGUUUAGGG
rnacentral:lncRNA from 1 species